AUACGGAGGGUGCAAGCGUUAAUCGGAAUUACUGGGCGUAAAGCGCGCGUAGGCGGCUUAUUAAGUCAGAUGUGAAAUCCCCGGGCUCAACCUGGGAACUGCAUCUGAUACUGGUAAGCUAGAGUUUUGGAGAGGGAAGUAGAAUUUCGGGUGUAGCGGUGAAAUGCAUAGAGAUCUGAAGGAAUACCAGUGGCGAAGGCGACUUCCUGGCCAAAAACUGACGCUGAGGUGCGAAAGCGUGGGUAGCAAACGGGAUUAGAAACCCCAGUAGUCC
rnacentral:rRNA from 1 species